rnacentral:rRNA from 1 species
UACGGAGGGGGCUAGCGUUGUUCGGAAUUACUGGGCGUAAAGCGUACGUAGGCGGCUUUGUAAGUUAGAGGUGAAAGCCCGGGGCUCAACUCCGGAAUUGCCUUUAAGACUGCAUCGCGCGAAUCAUGGAGAGGUGAGUGGAAUUCCGAGUGUAGAGGUGAAAUUCGUAGAUAUUCGGAAGAACACCAGUGGCGAAGGCGACUCACUGGACAUGUAUUGACGCUGAGGUACGAAAGCGUGGGGAGCAAACAGG